UACGGAGGGUGCAAGCGUUAUCCGGAUUCACUGGGUUUAAAGGGUGCGUAGGAGGGCAGGUAAGUCAGUGGUGAAAUCUUCGAGCUUAACUCGGAAACUGCCGUUGAUACUAUCUGUCUUGAAUACCGUGGAGGUGAGCGGAAUAUGUCAUGUAGCGGUGAAAUGCUUAGAUAUGACAUAGAACACCAAUUGCGAAGGCAGCUCACUACGGGAUUAUUGACACUGAGGCACGAAAGCGUGGGGAUCAAACAGG
rnacentral:rRNA from 1 species